rnacentral:rRNA from 1 species
UAGGGAAUCUUCCACAAUGGGCGCAAGCCUGAUGGAGCAACACCGCGUGAGUGAAGAAGGGUUUCGGCUCGUAAAGCUCUGUUGUUAAAGAAGAACACGUAUGAGAGUAACUGUUCAUACGUUGACGGUAUUUAACCAAAAAGUCACGGCUAACUACGUGCCAGCAGCCGCGGUAAUACGUAGGUGGCAAGCGUUAUCCGGAUUUAUUGGGCGUAAAGAGAGUGCAGGCGGUUUUCUAAGUCUGAUGUGAAAGCCUUCGGCUUAACCGGAGAAGUGCAUCGGAAACUGGAUAACUUGAGUGCAGAAGAGGGUAGUGGAACUCCAUGUGUAGCGGUGGAAUGCGUAGAUAUAUGGAAGAACACCAGUGGCGAAGGCGGCUACCUGGUCUGCAACUGACGCUGAGACUCGAAAGCAUGGGUAGCGAACAGGAUUAGAUACCCUGGUAGUCCAUGCCGUNNCGAUGAGUGCUAGGUGUUGGAGGGUUUCCACCCUUCAGUGCCGGAGCUAACGCAUUAAGCACUCCGCCUGGGGAGUACGACCGCAAGGNU